ensembl:lncRNA
UUUUACUCCAAACAUUUACUGGACUGAUUUAAACAUUAAAAUCACUCCUUUCUAAUCCUCUGCUGUACGUUCAAACCUGAGGCCUUAAAUAGAAACACACAAGUAUCUGAUUGAAGGAACUUCUGCAGAGUCCUGGUUCCAGAACAUGAUGAUAGAAUUAUAGACAAACUUUAACAAAAGCUGCCUGAGAGUUUACAGGUUUUUAUAUUAGAUUUCUUCAGUAAUUUAAUGAGAGUUAUCAGCAAAAAUCAAGUGUUCAUUUGAUGAACUUCAUUUCCUAAAACAUCCAGAAUUGGAGCUCAUAUCUUUGGCAGCUGUAAAGUUUCUGCUUCUUCAAAGUUCACAACACAAUGAAUGAAUUCCUAAAACACUCUCAAUGCUGGAGAGCGUUUGUGAUGCUGAAGCAGUGACCAGUUUUUCUGUUUCUUCUCUGGAAAUGCACAAUGAGGGACGUCUGCAGCGACUGAGAAAGAGUCUCACCACAUCCUGACAUGAGGAAAAAGACUUUAUUGAAGACUACAAUGAGAAAAACUAUCAGACAGCAGACGGCUGCAUUCAAGUCUGUAGCUGCUGAAUUCAUGGAUGAAUCAUCUGGCACUAGAGAGGAAGACCAUCAAACAUCCACGUCAGCUGAUGGAGGUCCAAGAGUCUCACCCAACAAACAACCUACAGAGUGAAGACCUCGAAUCUGAUUGGACGGCCUCCUAUUCAGCCACGUUUUAGGCUGUUAGAUUGUUCCAGAUAAGACGAGUACAAGAUUCUUCAGAGCCGUUCUACCAGGAGUCUGACAGGAAGAACUCCAACAGCUACUGAAUGUUCCUGUGGUUCCCUCAAGGCUACAGGAGGAGUCCUACGAGGACGAGCCGGUCCACCUGAUGGCGGCCAGUCGCUGUGGUUCAAAGCCAACACCGACUACGUGGACUUCUACUGGACCACAUGGAGGCCUUCAAACCGGACCAACAAGUUCAGCGACUCCCCGACUCGUGGGUCUGAGGAUGCCGCCGAGCCUCGGUCCAGCCGGCCUCCUGUCUGUGGGUGUUUGAGUGCUGAGAGGUUUGUGGAUGUAUGUGAACGUUCUGUGUUGAAACAGCAGCUUUGGACUCAGUAACGCCGGGAAAAACCAAGAGCUCCUUUAUUUGUGACUUCCACUAAAAAAAACAGAUGAAAAUAAGUUUGCCAGGGUUCUGACUGAUAACAGAUUAUUAAAUAAUGAAAGUAAUCGUUUAAAUAUUCUUUUAAACAAUCCUUUUAGGUCUACAUUUCCUUUACACUGACUUCUUGGUAUAUGCACAAGUAUUUAGGGUGGAAUAUACCAUUAAGCCCAAUGUUCAAGGGUUCUUC